rnacentral:rRNA from 1 species
GAUGAACGCUGGCGGCGUGCCUAAUACAUGCCAGUCGAGCGAACGGACGAGAAGCUUGCUUCUCUGAUGUUGGCGGCGGACGGGUGAGUAACACGUGGAUAACCUACCUAUAAGACUGGGAUAACUUCGGGAAACCGGAGCUAAUACCGGAUAAUAUUUUGAACCGCAUGAUUCAAAAGUGAAAGACGGUCUUGCUGUCACUUAUAGAUGGAUCCGCGCUGCAUUAGCUAGUUGGUAAGGUAACGGCUUACCAAGGCAACGAUGCAUAGCCGACCUGAGAGGGUGAUCGGCCACACUGGAACUGAGACACGGUCCAGACUCCUACGGGAGGCAGCAGUAGGGAAUCUUCCGCAAUGGGCGAAAGCCUGACGGAGCAACGCCGCGUGAGUGAUGAAGGUCUUCGGAUCGUAAAACUCUGUUAUUAGGGAAGAACAUAUGUGUAAGUAACUGUGCACAUCUUGACGGUACCUAAUCAGAAAGCCACGGCUAACUACGUG